AAGUCGUAACAAGGUCUCCGUAGGUGAACCUGCGGAGGGAUCAUUAACACUUUAAAACAAAACAAAAACAACUCGGUAACCUAAAAUGUCACUCUUAACAAUGGAUAUCUAGGCUCUC
rnacentral:misc_RNA from 1 species